AUUCCAAGCUUGAGUUUGAUCCUGGCUCAGGAUGAACGCUGGCGGCGUGCCUAAUACAUGCAAGUCGAGCGAGGUUCUUCGGAACCUAGCGGCGGACGGGUGAGUAACACGUGGGUAACCUGCCUAUAAGACUGGGAUAACUUCGGGAAACCGAAGCUAAUACCGGAUACUUUCGAGCAUCGCAUGAUGCUUGAUGGAAAGACGGCUUCGGCUGUCACUUACAGAUGGACCCGCGUCGCAUUAGCUAGUUGGUGAGGUAACGGCUCACCAAGGCGACGAUGCGUAGCCGACCUGAGAGGGUGAUCGGCCACACUGGAACUGAGACACGGUCCAGACUCCUACGGGAGGCAGCAGUAGGGAAUAUUGGACAAUGGGCGCAAGCCUGAUCCAGCCAUGCCGCGUGAGUGAAGAAGGCCCUCGGGUUGUAAAGCUCUUUUGUCCGGAAAGAAAAGCAUCGGGUUAAUACCCCGGUGUUCUGACGGUACCGGAAGAAUAAGCACCGGCUAACUUCGUGCCAGCAGCCGCGGUAAUACGAAGGGUGCAAGCGUUACUCGGAAUUACUGGGCGUAAAGCGUGCGUAGGUGGUUCGUUAAGUCCGAUGUGAAAGCCCUGGGCUCAACCUGGGAAUGGCAUUGGAUACUGGCGGGCUAGAGUGCGGUAGAGGAUAGUGGAAUUCCUGGUGUAGCAGUGAAAUGCGUAGAGAUCAGGAGGAACAUCCGUGGCGAAGGCGACUGUCUGGACCAGCACUACACUAGCACAAGCGAC
rnacentral:rRNA from 1 species